GAGGAGGAGGAUUCUACCAGGACUCAGUUUCAGGAGGGCUGUGGAGAGAUCCUGAACUAAAUGGGUGCCAAUGCAUCUACACCUACUGGAGGUAAGGCUGGCAGCACCAUCUGCUUCCCACAGAGGUCCUAGCUUCUCCUGCUGCUCCCACUUCAGACUCUCCUGCCUGAUACAGCGGCACUUCACCACUGGAUCAAUUCCUACCUUUUAUAAGUGAUACACUGUGCUGAUUUGGCCCUGUACAUGUAAGAAGAGAGUGGAAGAAAGAAAGGGUAGUGAAGAGAGGCGAGAGCGUAUAGUAUGGAAGGGCAUAAAGUAAUGGAUGUUUUGUCUGUUUUUUAGCCCCAAAAAAUGGCUAAAAUUUGCUAGUGUGGAGAAGCAGAACCUCUAACUCAACUGUAUUCCCAUUG